rnacentral:rRNA from 1 species
UACGUAGGUGGCAAGCGUUGUCCGGAUUUACUGGGCGUAAAGAGCGCGCAGGCGGUCGUUCAAGUCGCGUGUGAAAGCCCCCGGCUCAACUGGGGAGGGUCACGCGAUACUGAUCGACUCGAAGGCAGGAGAGGGUAGUGGAAUUCCCGGUGUAGUGGUGAAAUUCGUAGAUAUUCGGAAGAACACCAGUGGCGAAGGCGACUUACUGGACACAUAUUGACGCUGAGGUGCGAAAGCGUGGGGAGCAAACAGG